UUGUUGAUUCUUCACAAAAAAAUAGAGUUUUAUAUCUUUAUGUUUGAAGCCUGAAAUGUGGCAAAGGUCGCAAAGUUCAGGGGAGCCGAAUACUUUCGCAAGGCACUGUAAAUAACAGGUCAUAACAAGUCACAGAUGCUGUGACACACACACAGUCAAGACAAGGUCACAGCGAAGAGAAUGGAUUCCUCAUUGCACUCCUUUAUGGUUUACUAAGUAAUGGCUACUUCCUUAACUUCAAAUCAAUUGUUUACCUUUUAUUCUAUUGAUACUAUUAUGCUGCUUUGCCUAUGCCAAUAUCUUUCUAACGGACCAAGAUCUUUCUAACGGGCCAAGAUCUUUCUUACGGGCCAAGAUCUUUCUUACGGGCCAAGAUCUUUCUUACGGGCCAAGAUCUUUCUAAUGGGCCAAGAUCUUUCUUACGGGCCAAGAUCUUUCUUACGGGCCAAGAUCUUUCUUACGGGCCAAGAUCUUUCUUACACGCCAAUAUCUUUCUAAUGACCCAUAUCCCUUCCUUUCACUGCCUGCAAUUAAUAUGAUGUGAAAUAACCUGUAUGGUACCACUGACUGGAUAGACAUUACUAAGGAGGAUGGCUGUUAUGAAGCUAGGAGAAGAGGUCGAUGGAUUUCACUGCUUUCUGAGCUGUGGUUGGUUUUUGUGUGUGUGUGUGUGUGUUCUGAGCUGCCCCAUUAGGUCUGGCUGCAUGUAUCUUAGAGUGACAAGGGGACUGAGCAUUGUCUCUAGCAUUCCACUUCAGUGAGCAUGUUGCAUUCAGGCAUCAACCCAAUCUGUGUGUGUGUGUGUGUGUGGUGUGGUGGGGGGGGCCUAGCUAUUAGCUCCCCUUCUCCAUGUCGGUGUUAUUACAAACCAGUUACUCUUAGAACUCCAGCUAAAUCCAACAUCUCUCCCUAAUGGCUUCUAGUAGAGCUUCUUCUUCCCCAUCUCAUCGGUCAAUAACCUCUCCUACCACAACUUGUUUUCCUUCUGCCCUGUACCUUACAGUCUUUAUGAAGUACAGCUUGUCCCUGUCAGCAGAACACUACAUUCUUAUCGAAUUCAUUACUAGAAGCAGAACACUCAUUCUUAUAGAAGUCAUUACUAGCAGCAGACACUCAUUCUAUAGAAGUAUUACAGCAGCUUGUCCCUGGCAGCAGACACUCAUUCUUAUAGAAUCUUACUAGCAGCAGAACACUCAUUCCCAUAGAAGUCAUUACAAGCAGCCAAAACACUCCUUCCUAUAGAAGUCAUUACAAGCAGAAUAAGGGUCACAAAUACAGAUAACUUUC
rnacentral:lncRNA from 1 species